AAAAUCGAGAUUAAACAAUCAAUAUAACGAUUAAUAUUAUGCUUUAUAAUCUUACGGUAAGAUUCGCAUUUUGUUGCAAGUCGAGAGGAAGUGGUGCAACGUGAUGACAUUCUUAAGCUCCACUAAUCUGAUGGUUCCCUACAAUUCCGACGAAUAAUUAAUAAUCGUGACAAUAAUCUAUGAAUAUACGCCUAAUGUUUUUUUUUUUGUAUUUCUCAACUUCGAAUAUACAAUGUUGUCAUUUGGAUAAGGACGAGGAAGCAUGAAUUCAUAAUUCGUCUGCAUCUCUCACAUCACAACGUAAAUACUAAACAAAAAAAAAGAAGGUUAUUGAUCCUAUUAUUAU
rnacentral:lncRNA from 1 species